rnacentral:lncRNA from 13 species
AUCACAUUUGGACUAAUACACAUGAAAUAUUGGAAACAAGGGGAGAUACACAUACAUAAACCUAGGAAAUUGGAGCCAUUUAUUUCAUGAAUUAUUUGGGAAGGAAGUAUGAAUUUAGUACUGUCCUCACCAUCUCAGUUUUCCUCUAUGGAUACAUGCAGGAAGAAUAUAUUUACAGUGGGUUCUAUACAGAUAUUACAUAUAUUUCAUAUACAAGCUCUGACAGACUCAAUUCAGUGUGAAGAGUAAUCUUUCAGAUACUUUUCAUUGCAUUUAUAUUAUAAACUCCAUUUGGUGGGUGAAUAUCACUGUAAGCCUCAGCAUUCAUAUGCUAAUGUUAUAAGUUGGAGUUGUCAAGAGAAUUAUGCACAGGCUUGAGUACAUGUGUAUGUGACUGAGUGAUAUUUGUGUUUGCCAAAGCAGCAUGUGCUCCUAAAGGGAGAGUGUGUCUUAUCUUACUAGCUGUCUGGUCUCAGUUUCUCUCUCUAAUGUGCCAGGAAGAAAAUGUCUUCAUCACUGAAUAUUUUGGUGAUGCACAGAUUCCAGGAUGCCUUCCAGUGCAUGAAGCAAUGACUGUGUCUUACAAUAUCUGCAUCCCUAAGCUCCCUCACAUUCAUCAAGGAUUCAACAAGUGCCACCGGAAUAAAUGAUCUACAGCAUGGACACCAGAGGUCUGAGACCCGGGUGAGGACACCAGCCAGGUAGGAUGCUUGGGAGCAUCUGAACACGGCAUAAUAAGGGCUUGGACCAGAAUGUUCGUAGUGAGAAAAAAGAAAUUGUUUUUGUCACUUUUUCUUAAUGAAAAUUUCUUAUAUCUAUUGCGCUUACCAGUCCAGAUAUGAAUUUUGGUUCUGAUUUCACUAAGAACAGGAGAAGGAAUAAUCCACUUGUCUACAAAGGUAGACUGCCAAUUCCCUAGUUAGUCAGACUCCACACUAUUGCUCACAGAGGCUGUCACACAUUAGAUAUGGUGCUAAAUUUCCAGGCAACCUAGGGGACAAUUAAAUAAAUUAUUUUGGAUUCAUUGGCCUAUACCUGUU